CAGCAUGAAGAAGUCCCUUUAACGUUCCUUGUAAGUCUGGUCUGGUAGUGAUGAACUCCUUCAGCUUUUGCUUGUCUGAAAAACUCCAUCCCUUCUUCCACUCUGAAGAACAACUUUGCCAGGACUGAUGAAGUGAAUCUGUAUACAUCAUAUCCAUUUCAUAAACAGAAUGAACAGAAAUGAACAAUAUUCUGUUGCCUGCAACAUACUCCAGGCCACAUUAAUGCCAUAAUGACUACAUUUGCAUGAUUGCGUAGAGCUUAAAAAGAGAGAACACCACGUUUCUUGCACUGUGUUCAUGUGUGAAAACAGAAAAAGACAAUUGUCAGUUUUCCAGGUCUUUGGCUAACGUGUCACGGAUGAAUUGUAAGGUACGUUGGUACAAAAAAGCAUCCUUUUUCUUUGGCUUACAAAUGUUCAAAUGGUUAACAUCCACAGGAAUUAGAUCUCCAAUGCCUAGAUCUGAAGAAAACAAAAAUGUCAAUAAAAUUUAAGUAAAAAUAUAAGCUGCCCCCUGUCAACAGUGAAAGAGGCCAAAUGCGUACUGGUAAAUGUUGAUUUGGUCGUGAUCGAGAACCAAAUCAGAGAUAAAGGAACUUAAAGUUUGUAACUAAACUGCAUUUGACUAAUCACGUGACAAUGGAGUCUCAGUAGGUGUAAUUAUAACUUUAUGCUUUUCUCAUAAAUUCUGUGUGUGUGCUGCCGAUUUCCUAAUUCAAUAGUGAACAGAGCCUGAGCACUGUCACCUUCAAAACGUUUACACACUGCAGGUUAUUACUAAGUUAUUCCACACUUCUCUGAACCACUUCUCUUCCUAGAGCUAAUAUUAGAAACUUGAUAAUGAGCUCCCGUGCCCUGAUGAAACGAAUGGGAACGUCUCACAUGGAAUCCCUUCUAUACCCGACCCUCCAC